AUGUUCAGAAACCUCAACUCCAUGAAUUUCGGCUUCAUGACUAGCACCCAUCCCAACACUGCCUCCGCUAACUCCAAUGCUAAGUUGAUCCCUAGCAAAAGCAGGAGCUGUUUCUGCAUUGAGGACUUCUUCCCCUCCAUUCAUACUACUCCCUCCUAUAUCUCUUGCAUUACUGUCAGCAGCAGGCUGUACAAAAUUGCUUUCCUGUGCUUGGUUGCUAUAAUUGAGAUCCAAUGUGUCACUCAUUCCACCACUCCUGAGUGCACUUGA
rnacentral:rRNA from 1 species